rnacentral:rRNA from 1 species
UACGACUACAUAUCAGGCAUAUCAAUAAGCGGAGGAAAAGAAACUAACUAGGAUUCCCUUAGUAACGGCGAGUGAAGCGGGAAGAGCUCAAAUUUGAAAUCUUCAAGGUUUUACCUUGACGAAUUGUAGUUUAAAGAAGUGUUUUCUGUUGGAGUUUAGGUAAAAGUUCUUUGGAAUAGGACAUCAUAGAGGGUGAGAAUCCCGUAUUUGACCAUUACUUUCCAGCGUUGUGAUACACUUUCGAAGAGUCGGAUUGUUUGGGAAUGCAGUCCAAAAUGGGUGGUAAAUUUCAUCUAAAGCUAAAUAUUGGCGAGAGACCGAUAGCGAACAAGUACCGUGAGGGAAAGAUGAAAAGAACUUUGAAAAGAGAGUUAAACAGUACGUGAAAUUGUCAAAAGGGAAGCGUUUGACACCAGUGUUGUUUUCUCGAAAAUCAAUUAAAAAUGGCCGGAUUUUGUGUUGUAUUGACUUUAUCAGCUUUCUGCACUUUUUUCUUGUCUUUUUUAAUGCACUUUUCGUUUAACAAGUCAACAUCAAUUUCUUUUGUUGUAAAAGAGUCAUUGGAAGGUGGCUUUCACUUCGGUGAAAGUGUUUAUAGCCUUUGACUUCUGCAAUCGGAGAGAUUGAGGUCUGCAGCGUAGAUCCUUCGGGGUUAGAUACAUUAGAUGCUAAGUUAUAGUUUUUUAUAGACAACAUUGUUGACUAUGAUUAAUCAUGUAGCUUACUCGUUAUGCCUAUUUUACCUACGCUUAGGAUGUUGAUCUCUCACAGUCGAGC